AUUGAACGCUGGCGGCAGGCUUAACACAUGCAAGUCGAGCGGAGAGAGGUAGCUUGCUACUGAUCUUAGCGGCGGACGGGUGAGUAAUGCUUAGGAAUCAGCCUAUUAGUGGGGGACAACAUUUCGAAAGGAAUGCUAAUACCGCAUACGUCCUACGGGAGAAAGCAGGGGAUCUUCGGACCUUGAGCUAAUAGAUGAGCCUAAGUCGGAUUAGCUAGUUGGUGGGGUAAAGGCCUACCAAGGCGACGAUCUGUAGCGGGUCUGAGAGGAUGGUCCGCCACACUGGGACUGAGACACGGCCCAGACUCCUACGGGAGGCAGCAGUGGGGAAUAUUGGACAAUGGGCGCAAGCCUGAUCCAGCCAUGCCGCGUGUGUGAAGAAGGCCUUAUGGUUGUAAAGCACUUUAAGCGAGGAGGAGGCUACUUUAGUUAAUACCUAGAGAUAGUGGACGUUACUCGCAGAAUAAGCACCGGCUAACUCUGUGCCAGCCGCCGCCGUAACAC
rnacentral:rRNA from 1 species